AGAGUUUGAUCCUGGCUCAGGACGAACGCUGAGCGACGUGCUUAACACAUGCAAGUCCGAGCGAGCUGAUUCCUUCGGGGUGAAGCUAGCGGCGGACGGGUGAGUAACACGUGGGCAACCUGCCUCAUAGAGGGGAAUAGCCUCCCGAAAGGGAGAUUAAUACCGCAUAAGAUUGUAGUUCCGCAUGGAAUAGCAAUUAAAGGAGCAAUCCGCUAUGAGAUGGGCCCGCGGCGCAUUAGCUAGUUGGUGAGGUAACGGCUCACCAAGGCGACGAUGCGUAGCCGACCUGAGAGGGUGAUCGGCCACAUUGGGACUGAGACACGGCCCAGACUCCUACGGGAGGCAGCAGUGGGGAAUAUUGCACAAUGGGGGAAACCCUGAUGCAGCAACGCCGCGUGAGUGAUGACGGCCCUUCGGGUUGUAAAGCUCUGUCUUCAGGGACGAUAAUGACGGUACCUGAGGAGGAAGCCACGGCUAACUACGUGCCAGCAGCCGCGGU
rnacentral:rRNA from 1 species